CCCUUAGAUGUUCUCGGCCGCACACGCGCUACACUGAAAGAGGCAACGUGUUUGCCUGAUUCGAAAGAAUUGGGUAACCCCCUAAUCUCUUUCGUGCUGGGGAUUGAGGUUUACAAUUAUCCUUCAUGAACGAGGAAUUCCCAGUAAGUGCGAGUCAUUAUCUCGCGCUGACUACGUCCCUGCCCUUUGUACACACCGCCCGUCGCUACUACCGAUUGAAUGAUUUAGUGAGGACUUCGGACUGAGUCCAAUGCGGCUUUCGGGCUGCGUUGGUAUUUCGGAAAGAUGUCCAAACUGUAUCAUUUAGAGGAAGUAAAAGUCGUAACA
rnacentral:rRNA from 1 species